GCACAAGCGGUGGAGCAUGUGGUUUAAUUCGACGCAACGCGAAGAACCUUACCUGGGCUCGAAAUGUAGUGGACUGGGGUAGAAAUAUCCCUUCCUAGCAAUAGGCUGCUAUAUAGGUGCUGCAUGGCUGUCGUCAGCUCGUGUCGUGAGAUGUUGGGUUAAGUCCCGCAACGAGCGCAACCCUUAUUACCAGUUGCCAUCAUUUAGUUGGGCACUCUGGUGAGACCGCCUCGGAUAACGGGGAGGAAGGCGGGGAUGACGUCAAGUCCUCAUGGCCUUUAUGUCCAGGGCUACACACGUGCUACAAUGGCCGGUGCAAACCGUCGCAAACCCGUGAGGGGGAGCUAAUCGGAAAAAGCCGGCCUCAGUUCGGAUUGGAGUCUGCAACUCGACUCCAUGAAGCUGGAAUCGCUAGUAAUCGCAGAUCAGAACGCUGCGGUGAAUACGUUCCCGGGC
rnacentral:rRNA from 1 species